rnacentral:misc_RNA from 1 species
AACGCACAUUGCGCCCCUUGGUAUUCCGGGGGGCAUGCCUGUUCGAGCGUCAUUGCACCCCUCAAGCGAAGCUUGGUAUUGGGCCCUCGCCCCCGCGGCGUGCCCGAAAAGCAGUGGCGGUCCGGAGCGACUUUAAGCGUAGUAAAUUUCUCCCGCUUUGAAAGUCCGCCCCGCGGCCGGCCAGACAACCCCAUUAUUCCAAUAAUUGACCUCGGAUCAGGUAGGGAUACCCGCUGAACUUAA